CGUCAUAUCUAAGAAGCAUGCGGCACAAAAAGAAAGGAAGAGGACGAUGUCCACGGAUCGGUCCGAAUGGCACGAGCCCUCAAGGCGCGUGACCCGAGCUAUGAUCGGGAGAGAAGUGGCGCUGAUCUGGCAUUAUCGACGUAGCUCUGGGUCAAGAAGGUUGGAGCGUAAGCAUCGCACUGGCGCCGGGAGCCAUGCAGGUUCGGUAAAGCCUGUGGCGCUGGCAAUCCAGGGUGUAACUAUCGACCUCGGCGACGUUCGAGCGAGGCUCCUUGGACCUGCUGCAGCCUCUCGCGGCGGUGCCGGGCACUCCAGGAAGGAUCCCCCAUCAGAGGCGGACCGGCACGUACUAUAGUCCCCGGGGCAUCUCGUCGGCACUCGAAGAAGUAGCGGCGGAACCGGGAGUUAGGCCUAGCCAGUGAGGCCGGAGUGAAACGUCACCGACGGAGUUCCGGACACCGGCAUCAAAAGACGGACAGGUGGACUGACCCACAUCAAGGCAGCAACGUCUACGGCGUCGGCUAUGAGGAAGAUCCGACAGGCAACGGACUCGGAGGAUACAGGCGCCGACAAAAGGCUCGCAGCAAAAGACUGGAACGGCCUUUCUCGCAACAUCGCCCCCAUCACCUGUCCAUCAAGCUUCAUGCAUAGCAUAUCAAAUGUAACAUCGCACUGCUCGUUGUGUCAACAAUAUUCGGCGUAAAAAAAACAAAAGAAACCCCACCCCUUAUGUAAUACUCCCUCGGGGGUCUUUCAGGAAAUAAAAAUGAAAAUGAAAUAAAAUAAAUGAAAUAAUGAAGGAAA